UCAGGAUGAACGCUGGCGGCAGGCUUAAUACAUGCAAGUCGAACGGUAAGGCCCGAAGUAGCAAUACAGAAGGUACACGAGUGGCGCACGGGUGCGUAACGCGUAUGCAACCUGCCCCCGACCGGGACAAAACAGCUGGAAACGGCUGCUAAUAUCCCAUGGUCAUCCGGGAGGGCAUCCUCCUGGAUGUAAAGAUUCAUUGGUCGGGGAUGGGCAUGCGUAUUAUUAGGUAGUUGGCGGGGUAACGGCCCACCAAGCCGACGAUGAUUAGGGGUCCUGAGAGGGUUAACCCCCACACUGGAACUGAGACACGGUCCAGACUCCUACGGGAGGCAGCAGUAGGGAAUAUUGGGCAAUGGGAGCAAUCCUGACCCAGCCAUGCCGCGUGAAGGAAGACGGCCUAUGGGUUGUAAACUUCUUUUGCCGCAGAGUAAACCCGGUCACGUGUGGCCGGUUGAGAGUAUGCGGCGAAUAAGUAUCGGCUAACUCCGUGCCAGCCGCAGC
rnacentral:rRNA from 1 species